rnacentral:rRNA from 1 species
UACAGAGGUCUCAAGCGUUGUCCGGAAUCACUGGGCGUAAAGGGUGCGUAGGCGGGUCUUUAAGUCAGGGGUGAAAUCCUGGAGCUCAACUCCAGAACUGCCUUUGAUACUGAAGAUCUUGAGUUCGGGAGAGGUGAGUGGAACUGCGAGUGUAGAGGUGAAAUUCGUAGAUAUUCGCAAGAACACCAGUGGCGAAGGCGGCUCACUGGCCCGAUACUGACGCUGAUGCACGAAAGCGUGGGGAGCAAACAGG